rnacentral:rRNA from 1 species
GGGGGUGCCUAUACUGCAUGUCGAGCGAACAGACGAGGAGCUUGCUCCUCUGACGUUAGCGGCGGACGGGUGAGUAACACGUGGAUAACCUACCUAUAAGACUGGGAUAACUUCGGGAAACCGGAGCUAAUACCGGAUAACAUGUUUAACCGCAUGGUUCAACGGUGAAAGACGGUCUUGCUGUCACUUAUAGAUGGAUCCGCGCCGCAAUAUCUAGUUGGUAAGGUAACGGCUUACCAAGGCAACGAUGCGUAUCCUACCUGAGAGGGUGAUCGGCCACACUGGAACUGAAACACGGUCCAUACUCCUACGGGAGGCAUCAGUGGGGAAUCUUCCGCAAUGGGCGAAAGCCUGACGGAGCACGCCGCGUGAGUGAAGAAGGUCUUCGGAUCGUAAAACUCUGUUAUUAGGGAAGAACAAAUGUGUAAGUAACUAUGCACGUCUUGACGGUACCUAAUCAGAAAGCCACGGCUAACUACGUGCCAGCAGCCGCGGUAAUACGUAGGUGGCAAGCGUUAUCCGGAAUUAUUGGGCGUAAAGCGCGCGUAGGCGGUUUUUUAAGUCUGAUGUGAAAGCCCACGGCUCAACCGUGGAGGGUCAUUGGAAACUGGAAAACUUGAGUGCAGAAGAGGAAAGUGGAAUUCCAUGUGUAGCGGUGAAAUGCGCAGAGAUAUGGAGGAACACCAGUGGCGAAGGCGACUUUCUGGUCUGUAACUGACGCUGAUGUGCGAAAGCGUGGGGAUCAAACAGGAUUAGAUACCCUGGUAGUCCACGCCGUAAACGAUGAGUGCUAAGUGUUAGGGGGUUUCCGCCCCUUAGUGCUGCAGCUAACGCAUUAAGCACUCCGCCUGGGGAGUACGACCGCAAGGUUGAAACUCAAAGGAAUUGACGGGGACCCGCACAAGCGGUGGAGCAUGUGGUUUAAUUCGAAGCAACGCGAGAACCUUACCAAAUCUUGACAUCCUCUGACCCCUCUAGAGAUAGAGUUUUCCCCUUUCGGGGGACAGAGUGACAGGUGGUGCAUGGUUGUUCGUCAGCUCGU